rnacentral:rRNA from 1 species
UACGUAGGGUGCGAGCGUUAAUCGGAAUUACUGGGCGUAAAGCGUGCGCAGGCGGCUUUGCAAGACAGAUGUGAAAUCCCCGGGCUCAACCUGGGAGCUGCAUUUGUGACUGCAAGGCUAGAGUACGGUAGAGGGGGAUGGAAUUCCGCGUGUAGCAGUGAAAUGCGUAGAUAUGCGGAGGAACACCAAUGGCGAAGGCAAUCCCCUGGACCUGUACUGACGCUCAUGCACGAAAGCGUGGGGAGCAAACAGG